rnacentral:tRNA from 1 species
GGUUAUAGGGUGUUAACACGUUAAGUUGUAAACUUAAAGAUACUAAAAAGUUGUAACCA